rfam:Fonticula alba strain ATCC 38817 mitochondrial scaffold supercont2.213, whole genome shotgun sequence.
GAGUUUAUAGCUCAGUGGUAGAGCAUAUGGUCAUUGGUUCGAUUCCAAUUAAACUCC